UUCGGGGAGACCACGGGCCGGGGCUUGCUUUCAUCUUAUAGGAGCGCGCUGUACGUCGGGCGCCGGUAAACGAUCUAUACCGUAGAAUCGGAGAAGAGCAAAGACGGAUCAUUGAGGGCAGGUCGCUUGAACUUCGUCCACUUCUUUUUCUUUAUGUUUCUACUACGUCGUUCCGUGAAUGGCUAGCUGUCCUUGCAAAACGUUCCUCUAGAAACUACUCCGAGAUCCAUUUUCGUAUCCCGUUAGUUUCUUUCUCGCUUAGUACAGCGAAUCCCGGCAAAAGAGAGAACCGGAGCUGCGAUUUCGAAACCCCAGUCUUGAAAUGGGCGGAAAUUGAACGGCUCUGCACUCGUAGCUCGCACAGGACUCCCGAGUUACGAUUUCGCUUUGAAACCGCUUUUAGGGCAGAGCUGCAUUUAAGGAUACAUUACGCUAGUCUAUAUCCCUUUACCUACUUUUAUCUCGCCUUGUUUUGCCUCCCUUUUUCGGUGCUUUAGAAGCUACACUUCUACAGUGGGUCAUGCGGAACUCGUCUGCGGAUUACGCCCGGUGCUUUACCGCCUGACAAUUUCCAGCUGAAGCGAAAUAUCGCCUGACGGACAGCCGGCGCUGAUGACAAGGAACAGCUUCCCGUUUCGCCAUGGAUUCCAUUGGCCACACCGCACACCGAACGAACAGCACGCUGAUGCCAUCGUCUACGUCAGUGUCGUGUUUGUGGUCUUUGCCACCAUAGUUUUGCUGCUGCUGGCGACCACUUGCCGCACCAUACCCCCGGCAAGGGCGUCCCUCACCGCGGAAGAGCCCUGCGACAUGCCCCAACCUCUGCCCACGGUUGUGCACCUCAAGAAUUCCGGAGUUGGGGUACGCACCGAAACGUUCGCGGAAUCGAACAUCGUGUGAACUGUGCAUUUGGGGUCGGUAUUUCAAUGAGUUUGUUUAUGGGUGUUAAUUUAACAACAGCGCCGACAAACAACGCACAAGGUCAAUCCAUAGGCGUGGGCAGGGUACUAGAAUGGGGGGGGGGGGGGAGGACAAUUUUCAUUCUCACCGAAACCUGAAUCCAGUGACAUCGGAGCGGAGGUAAAAGAAAGACACGCUUCGCAAUAGAUUCAAAAACGAAAGCUUCGGUGCAGAGACUUCCUGGUGUAAAGAUGGGAGGUACACAGUUCUUCGAACGCAACAUUGUCCUCGGCCGCCAUGAUCGUUCAAAACAUGCGUUCAAAUAUCCCUGCACUUUAAGCACUGAUGGGACAGAACCGACGGAAUAAAGGUAUGUGCAUAGGCCUCCCUUAGAUAAUAAGGAGAGCACUCCCCCCGUCCCCCUGUGCACAUGCCUACUGUGACGACGAAGCCAUCGGACGAAGUCAUGGGUGUUCUUUUCUGUUAUUACUUGUCUCUGUACGUUUUGUAAUUUGCACGCUGUUCGGAAAUCCACUCUGAAAUGUGCCUGACGCUAUCGAAGAGCUUCGUGUGUUGACCAGUUUCGUACAUGACUUUCUACGCAAAGUCCAGAAAAGGUGUCGAACGGAAGGAAAGAUGUGUGCAAGCGGCGUCUUCGUUUCAAAGACGAGAAAUACCGGUCGGAACUUUUCCAAAAUAAAGAAAACAAAAAUAAAUAAACUUUCCGUGGAAACCUCCACAACACAAAUGUUCAAAGUGUGAUCUGCGUGUGGCACGGCUCGCUUUGCUGUCCGUUUAGAAAAUAAUCCCACAGAGACGUACAAAAUUCGUCAGCAAUUUUUCUAGCCUAAAGAGCCACGUAAGACCGGGGCAUAGUGACAUUGCUUUAGGUGCUUCAGGUCUCGUGGCGCCAUUGGAUCAAGGUUGUGACGGGGUUACUAUACCCUGUCACACCCUUGCGCAGAACAAGUGCAUCCACACUUCUAAUUCAUCUGAGCAGUGGUUGUGUACACGCGCCUAAGUAUUUGAAAGUGAAGUUUUUUUUUUUUGCUUUUGUUGCACCGCUUUGGGGAUGCGGUGUCUUCUGGAAGCAGCCAUGCAAAUUAGAAGACAUAGUACAGCUUGUGACUGUAGAUCAAACGCUGUUUGUGUGUGUCAGCUAGGCAUUACUAUAUUCAUGAUGACCUCGUAGCGCCUUCAUAGACUAUUCUGGUCUUU
rnacentral:lncRNA from 1 species